rnacentral:rRNA from 1 species
GACGAACGCUGGCGGCGUGCUUAACACACGCAAGUCGAACGGAAAGGCCCUGCUUUUGUGGGGUGCUCGGGUGGCGAACGGGUGAGUAACACGUGAGUAACCUGCCCUUGACUUUGGGAUAACUUCAGGAAACUGGGGCUAAUACCGGCUAGGAGCUCCUGCUGCAGGGUGGGGGUUGGAAAGUUUCGGCGGUUGGGGAUGGACUCGCGGCUUAUCAGCUUGUUGGUGGGGUGGUGGCUUACCAAGGCUUUGACGGGUAGCCGGCCUGAGAGGGUGACCGGCCACAUUGGGACUGAGAUACGGCCCAGACUCCUACGGGAGGCAGCAGUGGGGAAUAUUGCACAAUGGGCGGAAGCCUGAUGCAGCAACGCCGCGUGCGGGAUGACGGCCUUCGGGUUGUAAACCGCUUUCGCCUGUGACGAAGCGUGAGUGACGGUAAUGGGUAAAGAAGCACCGGCUAACUACGUG